UACGUAGGGGGCAAGCGUUGUCCGGAAUCAUUGGGCGUAAAGGGCGCGUAGGCGGAUAAUUAAGUCUGGUGUGAAAACUUGGGGCUCAACCCCAAGCCUGCAUCGGAAACUGGAUAUCUUGAGGACAGGAGAGGAGAGUGGAAUUCCACGUGUAGCGGUGAAAUGCGUAGAUAUUAGGAGGAACACCAGUGGCGAAGGCGGCCAUCUGGACGGAUACUGACGCUGAGACGCGAAAGCGUGGGGAGCAAAC
rnacentral:rRNA from 1 species